UACAGAGGUCUCAAGCGUUGUUCGGAUUCAUUGGGCGUAAAGGGUGCGUAGGUGGCGCGCUAAGUCAGGUGUGAAAUUUCGGAGCUUAACUCCGAAACUGCAUUUGAUACUGGCGUGCUUGAGGACUGGAGAGGAGACUGGAAUUCACGGUGUAGCAGUGAAAUGCGUAGAGAUCGUGAGGAAGACCAGUGGCGAAGGCGGGUCUCUGGACAGUUCCUGACACUGAGGAGCGAAAGCGUGGGGGAGCAAACAGG
rnacentral:rRNA from 1 species